CUCAUACAAGAUGAUGGGGCACAAAAAAAACAAGGCUGAAGUAUUUUCAUCCAUCUUCAGCCGGAAGUGCUGGGUUCACAGACUGCAUGGUUAAAAAGAAACUGGGAAGAUUGAUGCACCAAGAACAGCUGCCACAGCCACACACGAACACUGGAGAAGACACCACUAGAUAUCUUUCUUCUGGAUAGAUUCUCCUUGCCUGCACUGUACUUAUGUGGGAGGUCAGGAUGCAAACAUCGUGGCUGCAAUUUGAGAGCCUCCAAUAUUGAAGCCACUGGCCCCGUGACUCAACAACAUCCUGCCUCUAGAGGAGAUUUUUCUUAAACUGUAUCUUGUCUUUUUCUGCUCCAUCUUCAUUCUGUUAACUGCAAUCAUCUUCACAUUGACUAAUCUUGUGGAAAGCCUACAUAAAAGGAGAGAAUAAGAACCAGGGCAUCAGGAAACAUUGAGGGAGUGAACAAAUCUUUAGGGUUGACAUUGACUAUCAAUAGGGAGGCAGUAAAAUGGUAGAAGGUUAACAUGAUAUCCUAUGUAGAAUGCAGAGUGAGCCAGCACAGAUUCCGCUCUGCCCUCUUGAUGAAUGCAAGAGAAUAUGAUUAGAUUGCCAAUGUACCAUAAUACUGAAUAUCAAUCUGGCACUUCUGGGAUAUCAUUAACAAUGCAGAGAUUAUUAAAAUCCAAACUCCUGUCUGUUUAAACCUGGCCCCAAGGAGUUGAGAACCCGCUGCAAUAUGUCACCUCAAACAAUGUUUAAAAGAGUGAGUUUUGCAGCCUCCUAUUUGACAAAACUUGUCCUCCUCUGCUGCCCAGUAGAACGUCAUUGCUAGAGAAACAUGCCAAUCUGAGUACAGACUAGCUUCUGCCUCAUUCAACCCCACGUUCCACCUUGGGGCUUAAAUAACACCAGUGCUGCUGUGGGAGCCUAUGAGCUUCCAACCUUUUUUUUAACUAAGAAUUAUUUUAGACAUGGAUGAUAAGUUAAGCAUUACACCAGUCUUUAACAACUGCUUUAAGUUUUUAUUUGGGAUUAGUAUUAAAAACCUUGUUUAGCCUGAAAGGUAUGGUCUGUCUAUGUGGUACUUCAUUACGUAUCAGACUGAUCUUGAUAUCACUGCAGACCACUCUAGUUAGAACUUCAGAAGUGGUUAAUCAUUAAUUUUGCAGCACAAUAAUUUGAGUAGUUUCUAUGAAAUAUAUUUAACUGUCACUUCAUAUCAGUUGUAGAACUACUUAAACUUCUUUCAAUCCUGUGACCAUGAAUAAAGGAAAGGAGAAUUUUGAGAAACUCAAGGAGGAGUUCAUUCUUUCAACUGCAGGAGCAUUCCAAUUUUAAUUGCUUCAUGCUUUCAGGUGCCUGGGCUCUAAAUUCUGAAAGUCUCUCCCCAAACCUCAGUCUCCCUACCUCUCUCCUCCAUUAAGAUGUCCUUUAAAAUCUAUUUAAGUCACCUUUUCCAUUGCCUGUUUUUGUGGACUGAUGGCAAAUUUGAUAAUUAUUCCUGAAGAGCACCUUGGGAUGUUUAACUACAUUAAAGAGGUUGCAAAAAUUCAAGUUGUUCUUAGUAUUAAAAACAUCAAACUCUUAUUGUUUCUCAGAUCAAGACCAACUUUCAGUUAUGAAGUGUAUACACUUAAAAAUAAACCAAUUGCUCCUGA